GGUCCGCCAGAACGCGCUCGACGGUGAGGGAUGAAAGCUGGGGGAGCGAACCGGAUUAGAUACCCGGGUAGUCCCAGCUGUAAACGAUGCGAGCUAGGUGGAUGGGAUGAUUUAAGUUAUCCCUGUGCCGCAGGGAAGCCGUUAAGCUUGCCGCCUGGGGAGUAC
rnacentral:rRNA from 1 species